rnacentral:lncRNA from 1 species
CCCAAGCCUGAUUAACCACCCCCAGAUUUAUUUUCUCUGGACAUGUUCAUUCUUUCAUUGUCCCCUUGAAGCCAGGUAAACCCUCAGCAUCCCCAGGGCAGUGCUGCAAGGAGCUCACAGAGAUGUUUGGUUUUUUUAAAUUCAAUUUUCUUUUUGUUUACUUGUUUCUUUGUGUUGGUUGGUUGGUUUUUUUUGUUUUGUUCUUGAUUUUUGUUUUGUUAUUUUUUUGGUGUUUUGAUUUGUUUUUGUUUUUUUUUUCUUUUGGAAAGCCCUCUUUUUUUGUUUGUUUUUAACCUGUCAUCCACUGGUUUGAUGCCAUCUUGUUUCUGUGCUGUGGAAGGCAAUGAGACACCAGUCCCUGCUCACCCUCUCCAUAUGAUUCCUGAGCUUACAGUCCCUUAUCACAUCUCCCCUAUCAAAUCCCAGCAUGAGAGGCAAGACAAAUCCUGCUCAGCUGUCUCCUGUGUGGGUUAAUUUCCCUGAACUUUCCUCUAAGGACAAAGCCCAUUGAGCUGAGGGAUGGAGAGCUUGGUCAAAAUGAACUUGCAGACUGUGAGUUUUUCUGCAAAGCCUCUGGGAAGGAGAUAGCAGAAAGCCAAGGAGACCCUCCUGAGACCUGGUGUGGAGUGUCUAACAGGGUGAGCCUGGAAUCACCCUCUAUUAACUCAAGGUGGAGUUUCCUUGCUAUAGGAGUUUUUCUAGGAUACAGAAAGCACAGAACAAAUGCAGUGUUGCCUGAGGUUAAACUGCUCCAGACCUGCCUUCAGAGUCCUUCCCUCAUUGCAGAAAGGAAUGGGCUGCAUGAGACCACAGAAUACUUUGGGACCAGAGAGGGCUGCACUCAUCUUACCUGCUCCUUGCUUUCCUAA